GGUGCCUUAGCUCAGUCGGUAGAGCAAAGGACUGAAAAUCCUUGUGUCGCUGGUUCGAUUCCAGCAGGCACCACCA
rnacentral:tRNA from 1 species